CCUCCCGGGGGCGGACCUAACGGGGGGCAUGGAUGCCGAACCAAAAACCGCCUCUUGCUGCCAGAUCUACCCACAGGAGAGAAGCUAAACGCUAAGCAAAGCAAAAGCAAAAGCAACGCAAAGAAAACGAAAGAGAGGCGUACGGGUGGUGCCCAGAUGCGGAGGAAGCCGACGCCGGCGCCGCUGGAGUGGAAUGGAGAUCGGCGAAGUCGCGAGGAGACGGGAGGGAGGGAGGGAGGGAGGCGAGGCCGAGGGAGGAAGGGGGGGCCAAUCACGCUGGGC
rnacentral:lncRNA from 1 species